AUUGAACGCUGGCGGCAUGCCUUACACAUGCAAGUCGAACGGCAGCACGGGAGCAAUCCUGGUGGCGAGUGGCGAACGGGUGAGUAAAGUAUCGGAACGUGCCCAGUCGUGGGGGAUAACGUAGCGAAAGCUACGCUAAUACCGCAUACGAUCUAUGGAUGAAAGCGGGGGAUCGCAAGACCUCGCGCGAUUGGAGCGGCCGAUAUCAGAUUAGGUAGUUGGUGGGGUAAGGGCUCACCAAGCCGACGAUCUGUAGCUGGUCUGAGAGGACGACCAGCCACACUGGGACUGAGACACGGCCCAGACUCCUACGGGAGGCAGCAGUGGGGAACUUUGGACAAUGGGCGAAAGCCUGAUCCAGCCAUGCCGCGUGCAGGAUGAAGGCCUUCGGGUUGUAAACUGCUUUUGUACGGAACGAAAAGGUUUGGCCUAAUAAGCUGAGCUCAUGACGGUACCGUAAGAAUAAGCACCGGCUAACUACGUGCCAGCCGCCGCCGUAA
rnacentral:rRNA from 1 species